AGCACGACCUUGCCAAGGUCGGGGUCGCGGGUUCGAACCCCGUCGUCCGCUCCA
rnacentral:tRNA from 1 species